CGGUAAUUCCAGCUCCAAUAGCGUAUGCUAAAAUUGUUGCGGUUAAAACGCUCGUAGUUGUACGUUCCUCCAGGGCACUCGGAUUUUUCGUACAGAAGGUUCCGAGUGGUCUGUGAAAUUAUCUUACAAAGCGGUCUCUUGCUGAGCACGCGGAAAGGGAUACUUGUACCUUGAAGAAAUUAGAGUGCUUCAAGCAGAUUAUUGUCUGAACAUUAUAGCAUGGAAUAGUUGGAGAAGACACUGGUUCUAUUAGAGAUUUGUAGAGCAGGUGUAAUAGUUGAGAGGAACAGAAGGGGGCACUCAUAUUCGCAUGUGAGAGGUGGAAUUCUUGGAUCUUGCGAAGGUGGACUACUGCGAAAGCAUUUGUCAAGAAUGUUUUCAUUAAUCAAGAACGAAAGUUAGGGGAUCGAAGACGAUUAGAUACCGUCCUAGUCUUAACCAUAAACCAUGCCUUUUGGAGAUCAGGUGAACCUCGAACGCAGAGGAUUCUGGCAUCCUAGGGGAAACUAAAAUUUUUGGGUUCCGGGGGGAGUAUGGUCGCAAGACUGAAACUUAGAGGAAUUGACGGAAGGGCACCACCAGGAGUGGAGCUUGCGGCUUAAUUUGACUCAACGCGAGAAAUCUCACCAGGUCCAGACAUGGGAAGGAUUGACAGAGAAGCAGCUUUUUCUCGAUUACAUGGGUGGUGGUGCAUGGCCGUUCUCAGUUGGUGGGGUGAUCUGUCUGGUUGAUUCCGAUAACGAACGAGACCUCGACCUACUAAAUAAUUAGCACUUUGCUGUAAGUGAUGAUUUCUUAGAGGGACUUUUCGUGUCCAACGAAAGGAAGUAUGAGGCUAUAACAGGUCUGUGAUGCCCUUAGAUGUUCUGGGCUGCACGCGCGCUACACUGACAUAGACAGAGAGAUGUUCCUAUCCGAGGGGAGUGGAGAAACUUGAGAGGAUAUGUCGUGAUGGGGAUAGUUUAUUGCAAUUAUUGAACUUAAACGAGGAAUUCCUAGUAAGCGUAUGGAAUGAACUUACGCUGAUUACGUCCCUGCCCCUUGUACACACCGCCC
rnacentral:rRNA from 1 species